rnacentral:tRNA from 1 species
UGCACCUUACGGGAAUCGAACCCAUGGCAAAUGCUUGGAAGGCAUUUAUGUUACCACUACACCAAAGGUGC